AAAGAGAAAAGUUAAGAAAGGAUGGUACUUUGGUGAUGCUUCACGUUCUUUGCGCUUUUUGCUGGGAACUUUUUUACUGGAGAGGGUUUUGUGGUUUUUUUUAAACAGAAAAAGAAAAGAAAGAGACUGUGUGUGUUUGAAAAGGGUCUUGGCUUAGGAAAAAGAAAAAGGGUCUCUUUUUAUGUAUAAAUAUAUGGGUUUUGGCGUUGGGCUUCAAAUUUAUUUGCAACAAGUCUUGUUUUCUAAGUUUGAGAAGAAAAUGAGUUGUGGAGGAGAUAUGUGUGAGGAGACAAGCAAGGAUCCUGGUAUAAAGCUGUUUGGGAGAACUAUUCCUUUGCCGGAAUGUCAGAUUCAGCCCAACUCCCAACUCAUGGAUGCUUGCAGUGAUAUAACAAGUGCAGAAGUGGAGAGCUCUUAUGCCGAAAACUUAGGGAAGCAUGAGAAGUCCACUGAUUUAGGGGAUAGGAAUGAAGGGCCUCAAACUCCUAUGCAGGUUGGGCCACAAGUAUAUCCUACACCAAAGAAAGACCAGAUAGAUACCAAUAGUACAGAAGAAGAGAAAGUAUUUAAGAAGCCAGACAAGAUACUUCAAUGUCCAAGAUGCAACAGUUUAGAUACAAAAUUUUGCUACUUCAAUAACUACAACGUCAACCAACCGAGGCAUUUCUGCAAGAACUGCCAGAGAUAUUGGACAGCUGGUGGAACAAUGAGAAAUGUUCCUGUGGGUGCUGGGAGACGAAAGAACAAGCAUGUAACCUCCCAAUACCAUCAAUUAAUAAUAUCCUCCAAUGGAUUACCGACGAGAUUAGAAGCCCCAGACUCAUCCAAUCACCAACUUCUCUCAUGUGGUGAAUCUUCAACUGCUUUCAGGUCUUCAACAGGAAACGAGAGAGUCCUAAAAUUUGGUCCAGAAGCACCUCUCUGUGAAUCCAUGGAGACUGUUCUUAAUAUAAGAGACCAGAAAAGAUGUGUUGAGAUGGGUUCUGUAAAUGUUGGAGAAAAUGGAGAAGAGCCUUCUCCAUGCAGACCGUCCAUGACAUUUUCCAGUAAUCAGGGGAAGCAAUUACCUGAAAAUGUUGUGCAAAAGGAGCGAGUCAGAAUGCCAGGAUCUUGUUACGAGCUUAAUACCCCACAUCCUCAGCAUUGUUACCCUGUUUCUCCUUGGGGUGUCCAGUGGACUGCAGGUACUCAUAAUUUUACCUCAGUGGAAACAGCACAACAAACUUCUGAAUGUGUUUCUGUACCAAACAGCAAUGAUCCCAAUCCAGUUCGGUUGUACCCCGCACCGAUGCUUGCAGUUCCAGGCUUUUGUCCUCCACAAGUCCCUUUUCAAUUCAUACCAGCAACAUAUUUGGCUUGUAUGCCUGUUUGUGCAGCUGGAGCUGGGAGUGUCUCAUUGACUGGAUCUAGUGGAUGUCUAUCUCCAUCCUCCUUUGCUAGCAACAGUUGCUGCUCGGGCAAUGGCUCACCAACACUAGGCAAGCAUUCGAGACUUUACACAGAUGAAGAGAAAUCGGAGACAUGUGUUUUGGUUCCAAAGACACUGAGAAUUGAGGACCCAGAUGAGGCUUCAAAGAGUCCUUUCUGGGCUACUUUAGGAAUUAACCCUGGUCAGAAGAAAUCUAUGUCCAGAGGUUCUCUUUGGAACAUUUGAACCAAAUGUAGAUGACAUGAGCCAUAUAGCUGAUGCAUCUCAUAUCCUGGAAGCAAACCCAGCAGCUCUUUCUCUCUCUCAUACAUUUAAAGAGAGCACCUAACAGGCUCUGGGCUAUGAAUUUUUGCUUGAAAGACUUGAGAUAUAUGAUUUUGUACAUAUUCCUGGGACUAGCUGUCUGUAGAAUGUGGGAAUGGCCGUCAGUAAAGUGUGGCAUUAGCUUCUCAUUGUGGUGACAAAGCCAUCGUUUGAUAUGAAUUGAUUAUGUACUUCGAAGUUUUGGAUUAUGAACAAUGAGAUAAACGAAUUCUUGGGAAUUCUGAGUC